rnacentral:rRNA from 1 species
AUUGAACGCUGGCGGCAGGCCUAACACAUGCAAGUCGAGCGGCAGCGGGAAAGUAGCUUGCUACUUUUGCCGGCGAGCGGCGGACGGGUGAGUAAUGCCUGGGGAUCUGCCCAGUCGAGGGGGAUACCUACUGGAAACGGUAGCUAAUACCGCAUACGACAUACGGGGGAAAGCAGGGGACCUGCAGGCCUUGCGCGAUAGGAUGAGCCAAGGGUGGAUUAGCUAGUUGGUGGGGUAAUGGCUCACCAAGGCGACGAUCCCUAGCUGGUCUGAGAGGAUGAUCAGCCACACUGGAACUGAGACUCGGUCCAGACUCCUACGGGAGGCAGCAGUGGGGAAUAUUGCACAAUGGGGGAAACCCUGAUGCAGCCAUGCCGCGUGUGUGAAGAAGGCCUUCGGGUUGUAAAGCACUUUCAGCGAGGAGGAAAGGUUGGUAGCUAAUAACUGCCAGCUGUGACGUUACUCGCAGAAGAAGCACCGGCUAACUCCGUGCCAGCCGCCGCGGUAA